AUUGAUGGUAUCUAUUAUUAUUAACGAAAGACUAAGCUUAUGUUGCUGUAUUCGCUUUCGGAGACGAUUGAUUCCUGAAGGGAACGGAUCUCCGCUUGCAAUUUUCUGGGGUGGAAUUUUGGUGUGCUUCUGCUGGUGUGUGUCAAUCUACCAAAUGGUGACAUGGUGGGGCAUACUGGUGAUAUUGAUGCUACAGUUGUGGCUUGCAAGGCUACUAAUGAAAGAUGGUUCUUGAUGUAAUAAAGCAAGAGAGAGGAAUUUAUGUUGAAACUGCAGAAUCAUAUCUUGAAAAGUCAGAUACAAAGGCUGUGAUUGUUAUUCAUAACGAGAUGAAUCCAGACACCGCGUUGCAUGCACUGAGUUACUUUCAACAGAGGCUGGAACCAAAUAAUGGCCCUUUGCAGGGAAUGAUUUCUAGCUACUGCUGGUGUGGUACCUCACUGCUGCAUCUGUGUUGUCUUGGGCAACAAGAGUCAACAACUUAAUCCUUGGGCAAGCUUGGGUUGACUCACCAAGGGAGAUGAUCUUAACGAAUUUUUUCUGGAGACAAAGUUGUGUUAUAUUUUCAACCAUAUUUUUGGGUUGGAGCUGGUAGCCUAUGAAGUGGAUAGAUAUGUAUAUAAUGUUGCUGAGGUGCUCUCAACCUUGAGGACAAGGUUCUUUGAAGGGUACGGCAAUGUAACAAGCCUAAUUAACUUGGGGCUCAGCCAAAGCCCAUGGGCCACAUUUACCUUUUAGUCUUACUUCUUUUUCCCGUGUGUUUUGGUUUUAGAUUAUUGUAGGGGGCUUCAACAGGUAGUGGGCUUGGGCCUGUAGCGUUAACUAGUUUGCAGAUGUGGUUUUAUUAUCUUUUUGUUACUUUUUAGCCCGGCCCAUUACGUGGGUUAUAUGUACUAAGCAACUUUGCUCUGAAGAUUUAUCCAAACAGUAUCAGAAAACUCAAAUUUUCCGUCUA